AUUUUCUUCCACAGAGAAGGGUCAGAGAGUCACUAGUACAACCCCAUGUUCAAAUUAUGACCUGAGCGACAUGAAUUCAGCUGUGUUCAUUGUUUAAUGUCUUUUCUGAAAUGUCUCUUUGGUCCUAAAAAAAUAGUUAAGGUCACUUUUUUUUUUUUUUUUUUCCCCCUUACUAAACUCAGUAUCUCAGAUAUUGCAUGGGUUUAUAUAAGUACAAAUGAAUACAUGGAAGACAAGUCUCUUUGAACUGAAGGCAUUGUUUACAGUCACCCUCUCUUUCCUCUCUUUUAGGAAGAAUCAAAAAUGAAAAAGAAACUCUGCAGAAGGAGCUGCAUAGUUGGGGGGCUAAAAAUUAAUGUGCUUUACUUAAAACUUAAUGCAAUUAUUCUGCUCUCCUGCAAUUCUAUAUGUAACAAUAUGUUAGUGGGUGCAAUUUUCACUGUACAAAUCAGAUUAUCUUUCAGUAGUGGGAUAAGUAAUCAUUCUCUGCUAUAAUGUUAUUCCAGUAUUGCUUAGAUCCUAUAGUUCUUAUAUUAAGGAAGAACAUUGUGGCUUUAUCUCAGAAGAAGACAUUUAUUUCCAAAUGUAAUAUCGGGGGGAGGGGGGGAGGGGGCGGGGACAGGGACGGGGAGGGGGGGAUGGGAUGGACCAAAAAAUAGCUAUUAUAUUUAAACAUCUAACUUAGUCUUUCUGUAGAAGUUCCAGUCCUGUAACAGUGUUAGAGUUUGUAACAGCUCAAAUGUAAUCCAGAAGCCUUUUAAAAAUCUAAACUACAGGAUGCUGGAAAAUGAAAAUAUCUAAUGCUGGUAAUGAAAAUAUCACUGAUGCUGGUAAUGAAAAUAUCUAAUGGAAGAAGGAAGGAAGGAAGGAAGGAAGGAAGGAAGGAAGGAAGGAAGGAAGGAAGGAAGGAAGGAAGGAAAGAACAACAACAAAAAACACCUUGAAUCAUUCAUUCCAGGAAGCCAUUACUGCUGCCUUAAAAUAUGCAGGAAAAUUUACCCUUUCAAAACUGCAAUAUCUGCACUACUGCUGAAGUGGUACUCUGUACCACACUCUUGAUACCUAUCUGUAGGUGUCUAAAGGCAGGUAUCCACACAGCAGCCAAAACCCAGGAGAUCUUGUCAAUACAGGAAAUAUAGCUGAGAAGGGAGACAUCUGGCUAAAAAUAAAUGUCUCUUUUAAGAAUGAACUGGAUAGCUC
rnacentral:lncRNA from 1 species